ensembl:lncRNA
UGCCUUUGGUUCCGACUUGUCUGUAUCCUGCAGAAUAGACAGAUCAACCUGCUAGAGAAGGAAACGGAGAGAGAGAAGGAGGGAGAGAGAGAGACAGAGAGACAGAGACCGGGGAGGGAGGGGCGAGAGAAGGAGAGAGUUUUGAAGUCCCCCUGGCUUUGAGUUUCCCGUCCCUGGACAGGCAAAGGGAAGGGUCAGGCACCUGCCCUCAGCUCCUAGGGGACUCUCAGGAGCAUCCUUGUCUGCCUAGAUCUGCUGUGGCGAAGAGCUUCACUGGACCUGAGCCUCCGGAUGAGGAUACUGAGGCUCAGCAAGAGAAGGUGAUUUCUUCAAGUUAAAGUUGGGAUUUGGACCUCAAUUUCCCAACUUCAAGUCAAGUGCUCUUCCUAUGUGAUAUUCCUAUCACACAGGAUAACCAAAAUUGUGGUUAUGGGGUGUAGAAGGCUGCCUGUCCCACAAUAGCAAAUUUAUCAAAUUUACAUGUGACAAUCACCCUAGGAAGGCAAUUUAUUAUGAAGGAUACCAUAAUUUAAAUCCAGGUAGAUUUCAGCAGACUAGAACAGUGGGAUGCAUUUAAAUAAGUCAAAUUUAAUGGAGGUAAAGAUGAAGACCUGAUCUCAGGAAAAAGAGGCAACGGUCAACAGUUUUCCUGAAAAAUAUUUGAGGAUUUUGCUGGAGCAAUGGGCACAGAAAAGACAAGAAUAGGGAAUAGAGUGGGAUUACAGAGAGACUGGUUUUUAUUUUUGUAGUAAGAACUUUUUAAAAAUUAGAACCAUUCAAUACUAAGAUGGGCUGCCCUGAACACCCCAUCACUGGUGGUGUCUAAGCAGGGACUGGAUGAUUAUUUGUUGAUGAUGUUAAGAAGAGGAUUUCUUCAUUGAUUGACCAAGUUGGAUGUUUUCUAAGAUCCUUUCCAAUUCUAAUAUGACUUUAGGUCACAGACUAUGGUUUUUCUAGUUAGGACAUGUGGUUUAGAAACAGAACUAAAUUCAGUCUGGAGGACUGGGUUAGACUGUGACAUAGCAGCUGUGUGAACUUUGUAAGCCAUCCAUCAAGUAGGACUAGGGUUAGGCUGGACUACCAUUUCUUAGGAAUAUUAGAUAAGGUUUUCUAAGUCAGGUACAGAUUGAACUAUAGGGCAUCUAAGGUCCCUUUCAGAGGUUGGAUUCUAUAAUUCUAUGGCUUUUUGGUAUAGUAGAGAAAAGUGGGUAAACCCCCCUCCUCUUACCUAAGGCUGAGAUUAAGGUAUCCCUGAUUUCUGUUCAUACACAUUCAGCCCCUUCUAGGUCCAAUAAUGUGAACAUGUGAACCAUCAUUUGUUAGGUAAUGAGACAAACUGUGGGAGAUAGUUGUGAACUUAUGGUUGAAUUAACAACUGGAUGAGCAAAUGACAGUGGCACCUAAUUGCUAUAGGAAUUAAAGGAUUUAGGAACUAAUGACGAAGGUAACAUGGCUUUGAGAGCUAUAGAAUAUGGGAGCAAUAGACUGCUAAAGUUAAUGGCUAAGUGAGUGUAGGCACUAAAGGCUUUGGAAGCUAAUGACUAUAAGAACUAAUGGCUAUAGGAGCUAAUAAUUAUGAGUCUGAUGAACCAGAGUGGCUACUAGAGUUGGAUACCACAGGUUUUCCAUCUCAGAGAUCAGGAGAGUGAGAGUCCAGGGAGCCAAUCCUCCCUAGCAACUCAAACAAUAUCAGAGAAAGAAGAGGUUAGUGUCUCCCUCCAGUUUUAAGAUUACUUAGGUGGGUACAGUAGGAACUUGUUUUUAGUAACCAAUACAAUCUAAGAUCCUUUGUGGAAGUUGAAAAUUGCACAUGAUAGGUGGCAAAGAACUGGAAAUUGAAGUGAUAUCAAUCAAUUAGAGAAUAGCUGAACAAAUUGGGGUAUAUGAUGGUGAUGGAAUACCAUCAUGCUAUAAGAAACUAUGAGCAAGAUGAUUUCAGAAAAAAAGCUGGAAAGACCUAUGUAAACUGAUACAAAGCAAAAUAAGCAGAACCAAGAGAACAUUGUACACAGUAGCAGCAAUACUGUAUAAUGAUCAGUUGUGAAAGACUCAGCUACUCUCAGUAAUACCAUGAUCCAGGGCAUUUCUGAAGGCUUUAUGACAAAGAAUGAUAUCCAUCUCUGGAGUAAGAAUUGUUGAAGUCGGAAUGCAGAUCAAAGCAUACCAUUUUUCACAAUAGUUUAUGUUUUCACUUGGGGGUUUUGGUUUUAUACAAGUAUUCUCUUAAAACAAUGACCAACAUGGAAGUUUGUUUUACAUGAUAAUACAUAUAUAAUCCAGAUCAAAUUGUUUACCAUCUCUGGGAGAGGGCAGGGAAGGGAGACAGGAAGACAAUUUGGAUUUUAUAAUUUUGGAAAACAUAUGCUGAAAGUUAUUACAUGUAACUAAGAAAAUAAAAUAUCUUUACAAAAAAAGAAAAGAAAAUCA